GGGCCCGCACAAGCGGUGGAGUAUGUGGUUUAAUUCGAUGAUACGCGAGGAACCUUACCAGGGCUUAAAUGUAGUCUGACAGGGGUGGAAACACCCCCUCCUUCGGGCAGAUUACAAGGUGCUGCAUGGUUGUCGUCAGCUCGUGCCGUGAGGUGUCAGGUUAAGUCCUAUAACGAGCGCAACCCCUGCCGUUAGUUGCCAGCAUGUAAUGAUGGGAACUCUAACGGGACUGCCGGUGCAAACCGCGAGGAAGGUGGGGAUGACGUCAAAUCAUCACGGCCCUUACGUCCUGGGCUACACACGUGCUACAAUGGCCGGUACAGAGGGCAGCCACACCGCAAGGUGGAGCGAAUCCUUAAAACCGGUCUCAGUUCGGAUCGGGGUCUGCAACUCGGCCCCGUGAAGCUGGAAUCGCUAGUAAUCGCGCAU
rnacentral:rRNA from 1 species